rnacentral:rRNA from 1 species
UACGGCGGGGGCUAGCGAUGUUCGGAAUUACUGGGCGUAAAGCGCACGUAGGCGGACUGGAAAGUCAGGGGUGAAAUCCCGGGGCUCAACCCCGGAACUGCCUUUGAAACUCCCGGUCUUGAGGUCGAGAGAGGUGAGUGGAAUUCCGAGUGUAGAGGUGAAAUUCGUAGAUAUUCGGAGGAACACCAGUGGCGAAGGCGGCUCACUGGCUCGAUACUGACGCUGAGGUGCGAAAGCGUGGGGAGCAAACAGG